CGUGUAGGCGGCCGGUUAAGUCAGGUGUGAAAGCCCAGGGCUCAACCCUGGAAGGGCACUUGAAACUGAUCGGCUUGAGUUCGGGAGAGGGAAGCGGAAUUCCUGGUGUAGAGGUGAAAUUCGUAGAUAUCAGGAGGAACACCGGUGGCGAAGGCGGCUUCCUGGACCGAAACUGACGCUGAGACGCGAAAGCGUGGGGAGCAAACA
rnacentral:rRNA from 1 species